GAUGAACGCUGGCGGCGUGCCUAAUACAUGCAAGUCGAGCGAACAGAUGAGGAGCUUGCUCCUCUGACGUUAGCGGCGGACGGGUGAGUAACACGUGGAUAACCUACCUAUAAGACUGGGAUAACUUCGGGAAACCGGAGCUAAUACCGGAUAAUAUAUUGAACCGCAUGGUUCAAUAGUGAAAGACGGUUUUGCUGUCACUUAUAGAUGGAUCCGCGCCGCAUUAGCUAGUUGGUAAGGUAACGGCUUACCAAGGCAACGAUGCGUAGCCGACCUGAGAGGGUGGUUGGAUAGCUGGGAAGAGAGGCAGGGCAGACACACUGACGGUGAGACACAGCAGAGAAUCUUCCGGGAGGGGGGAGAGGCGGAUGGAGCAAAGCGGGGGGAGGGAUGAAGGUGUUCGGACCGUAAAACGCUGUUAUUAGGGGAGAAGUAAUGUGUAAUUAACCAUGAACAUCUUGACGGUACCUGAUCAGAAAGCCCCGGCUAACUACGUG
rnacentral:rRNA from 1 species